CAGUAGCCGCGGGAACACGUAGGUGGCAAGCGUUGUCCGGAAUUAUUGGGCGUAAAGCGCGCGCAGGCGGAUCAGUCAGUCUGUCUUAAAAGUUCGGGGCUUAACCCCGUGAUGGGAUGGAAACUGCUGAUCUAGAGUAUCGGAGAGGAAAGUGGAAUUCCUAGUGUAGCGGUGAAAUGCGUAGAUAUUGGGAAGAACGCCAGUGGCGAAGGCGACUUUCUGGACGAAAACUGACGCUGAGGCGCGAAAGCCAGGGGAGCGAACGGGAUUAGAUACCCGUGUAGUCCCUGUCUCUUAUACC
rnacentral:rRNA from 1 species